GACAGAGGUGGCAAGCGUUGUUCGGAUUCAUUGGGUGUAAAGGGCUGGUAGGCGGCUUUGUAAGUCUGACGUGAAAUCCCAGGGCUCAACCCUGGAACUGCGUUGGAAACUACAUGGCUUGAGUAUCGUAGAGGUUAGGGGAAUUCUCGGUGUAAGGGUGAAAUCUGUAGAUAUCGAGAGGAAUACCAGAGGCGAAGGCGCCUAACUGGGCGAUUACUGACGCUGAGCAGCGAAAGCAAGGGGAGCAAACAGG
rnacentral:rRNA from 1 species